GGGCCUAGCCAGUCUCUUUUUGAUAUUCUUACUCUCACUGUUUAUAUAAACCUACCAUUAAAAUGACUGACUGGUCAUUUCUUUGUAAAUGGGUAAACUUACAAAAUCUGCAGGGGAUCAAAUAAUUAUUUCCUCCACUGUAUAUAUAUAUAUAUGGAAAGAAUGUGCAAAUAAAGUCACCAUUGUACUACAAACACCAUGAAAGACAUGUGCACCAGGCAGAGGGUCUCUUUGCUCUCGAUCCUGGGGAGCACAGUGGCAGCCUCUCCUGGGGGCAGGGAGGGGCCAGAGGAGAUGGCGGGGACUUUAGGUGGAAACUAAAGCAUGCAACAGCCACAUGUGUGUGUGUCUCCUGUGUGUGUCCAGUUGAAGUCCUCCCAGAUGUGCAGGGGCAGCUGCAGGCCUUCAGAGGGGGGACAGCUGUGCUCUGCUGCCUGCUGCUGGUCCUGGUCCUGAUCCGCUUCACCAGACCCACCGUCAGAGCCCUGCAGAACAGACUAUCUGAAAGGAGGCAGAACCGCUGGAUCGGACCUACGCAGAGUCACAGUGUGGCCUAUCGAGGAAAGACUGCAGUUAAAAUCAAUGAGGGAGAGAAGAGACUUUCCUACCCUGCUCUGGAGCGCCUGGCAGUCAGUGACAGCAGAGAGCCCUCAUCAAACAGGAACAGUGACUACAACUUCUGAUAUCAUUAUCACCACCAUCACCAUCACCACCAUCAUCAUCAUCAUCAUCAUCAUCAUCAUCAUCAUCAUCAUCAUCAUCCUUUGCAUGCCCAUACAUGUGGGCUAAACAUAUGUUUAUAUAUUACCAUUACUGUCUGGACUGUAUCUAAACUUCAUUUAGUUACCCUUGUUACAAAUUAAUCUGAAAAUAACCACUUGAAGUUAUGUCCACCUGUCAGAGGUUAUAUUAAGAUGUGAAAUGUUCACAGAACCAUGCAACAUUUUGGAAAGCCACUUAGCAGUUAGCCUUUGAGCUCAAGCUAAAGGCGUCAGGGGCCGCAGAACAGUUUUAACCAGGUGACUUGAAUGGUGUUUAGCUUUUUCGCUUACAAAAUACAACAUCAGCUUGCUCUUUAGUUUUUAGAAGGUGUAUUUGAAAAAAAAGAUUUGCAGUCCUUGUGGUAAUAUUGACUGAACGUGUUCCGUACCUGAUGGAACAGUAAAAAAAGAGAAUCUCAGUGUUCCCAAAAUGUUGGAGUAUUCCUUUAAUUAGGAAAACCAUGAAAUAAAAACUAUGAUAUUGAUUCAAUGUCAUAUGAGUGACUUACACUGUAACUCAAA